rnacentral:tRNA from 1 species
GCCCGAGUGGUGAAAUUGGUAUACACAAGGGAUUUAAAAUCCCUCGGCUGUCAUGGCCAUGCCGGUUCAAGUCCGGCCUCGGGCACCA